UAAAUCUCAGUAACCAUGAGAGAUACUGUUUCUUAUCUUGAUAGGUGGAAGCAGCACAAGCAAGAUAUGGGUGGAUGCCUAGUAUGUCUAGUAGAAAUGGGGCCGAAAAAAAGUGAAACUCUGACCACCAGAUGGCAGCAGAGGCUUGUGCCAAAAGGAUACCUUUCUGGUCCCAGAAAGGGGUGGGGUAAAACCAGUGAUAUUCACAUCCUUCAGAAAAUUAGUAUUUUUUUCCUUAAAAAAAUCACUAUUUAAGAAUUUCAUUGAUAAUUCCCACUGGGAGAAAGCAUCAAGCAUCAAAAUUAUCUGGGAGAAUGAUGCCAGCAAGACGACAGCAAUGAUGCCAACAAGAAGGUAACCCAUUCAUAGCUCCCCAUCCCCCAUAACAACAAUAUUUCU
rnacentral:lncRNA from 1 species